rnacentral:rRNA from 1 species
CCUACGGGUGGCAGCAGUGGGGAAUAUUGGGCAAUGGGCGCAAGCCUGACCCAGCAACGCCGCGUGAAGGAAGAAGGCUUUCGGGUUGUAAACUUCUUUUCUCAGGGACGAAGCAAGUGACGGUACCUGACGAAUAAGCCACGGCUAACUACGUGCCAGCCGCCGCGGUAAUACGUAGGUGGCAAGCGUUAUCCGGAUUUAAUGGGGGUAAAGGUCGUGUAGGCGGGGACGCAAGUCAGAUGUGAAAACCACGGGCUCAACCUGUGGACUGCAUUUGAAACUGUGUUUCUUGAGUACUGGAGAGGUAGACGGAAUUCCUAGUGUAGCGGUGAAAUGCGUAGAUAUGAGGAGGAACACCAGUGGCGAAGGCGGUCUGCUGGACAGCAACUGACGCUGAGGCGCGAAAGCGUGGGGAGCAAACAGGAUUAGAUACCCUAGUAGUC